rnacentral:rRNA from 1 species
GACGAACGCUGGCGGCGUGCUUAACACAUGCAAGUCGAACGGAAAGGCCCUGCUUUUGUGGGGUGCUCGAGUGGCGAACGGGUGAGUAACACGUGAGUAACCUGCCCUUGACUUUGGGAUAACUUCAGGAAACUGGUGCUAAUACCGGAUAGGAGCUCCUGCUGCAUGGUGGGGGUUGGAAAGUUUCGGCGGUUGGGGAUGGACUCGCGGCUUAUCAGCUUGUUGGUUGGGUAGUGGCUUACCAAGGCUUUGACGGGUAGCCGGCCUGAGAGGGUGACCGGCCACAUUGGGACUGAGAUACGGCCCAGACUCCUACGGGAGGCAGCAGUGGGGAAUAUUGCACAAUGGGCGGAAGCCUGAUGCAGAAACGCCGCGUGCGGGAUGACGGCCUUCGGGUUGUAAACCGCUUUCGCCUGUGACGAAGCGUGAGUGACGGUAAUGGGUAAAGAAGCACCGGCUAACUACGUG